GGUACAGAGUAGAUGUACGUAGGUAGACCGACAUAAUAUCGGUAUAAUUAUAGUUGUACAUCUUUGAGCAAUGUGUUAGUUAAUUAAAAACAUUCUCGGAGGUGGGAUGGAAUAAAAUACUUAAAACUUUAAAUUGAAAACCACAGAUUAAACUAGAAUAAUGUCCUUAAGUAUAAGCCUAUAGUAUCGAUCGUAUUUAAUUUUACGCCCAUUAACAACGACGG